rnacentral:rRNA from 1 species
CUAUAACGGUCCUAAGGUAGCGAAAUUCCUUGUCAGGUAAAUUCUGACCCGCACGAAUGGCGUAACGACUUGGGCGCUGUCUCAACGAGAGAUCCGGUGAAAUUUUAAUACCUGUGAAGAUGCAGGUUACCCGCGACAAGACGGAAAGACCCCAUGGAGCUUUACUGCAGCUUGAUAUUGAAUUUGGGUACGAUCUGUACAGGAUAGGUGGGAGCCGUAGAAGUAGGAGCGCAAGCUUCUGUGGAGGCGCCGUUGGGAUACCACCCUGAUCGUAUCUAGGUUCUAACCUGGUACCCUAAGCGGGUACGGGGACCGUGUCAGGCGGGCAGUUUGACUGGGGCGGUCGCCUCCUAAAGAGUAACGGAGGCGUUCAAAGGUUCCCUCAGAAUGGUUGGAAAUCAUUCGAAGAGUGCAAAGGCAUAAGGGAGCUUGACUGCGAGACCAACAAGUCGAGCAGGGACGAAAGUCGGACUUAGUGAUCCGGUGGUACCGCAUGGAAGGGCCAUCGCUCAACGGAUAAAAGCUACCCUGGGGAUAACAGGCUUAUCUCCCCCAAGAGUCCACAUCGACGGGGAGGUUUGGCACCUCGAUGUCGGCUCAUCGCAUCCUGGGGCUGAAGUAGGUCCCAAGGGUUGGGCUGUUCGCCCAUUAAAGCGGUACGCGAGCUGGGUUCAGAACGUCGUGAGACAGUUCGGUCCCUAUCUGUCGUGGGCGCAGGAAAUUUGAGAGGAGCUGUCCUUAGU